CUAAUUUUGACGUUUCUUAACUUUUAGGUUAAUAUCUAAAGUUUAGCUUAAUUAAAAAUUUACUUUGAGUGUAUUGUAAGUGUUUUCCUGGUAACACGUGCUGAUAAACCGCUUAUUAGUCAUCGAUUUGGCACAAUUUAUAAUAUAUAUAUAGUUAAGGAGUUGUAGUUUCAGCCCAUUUUUGUUGUGGAUUAUUUGCUCAAAAUGUUUAAAUCGCUGUGGAGUUUCAUUGAAUUUUGGUAUUUAAGAUAUUUACUUGUAACAGAACUUUAUAUGGUGGAAAAAUGGGAACGUAUAAUGAUCCAUGUUAUAUUUGUGGUGAUGUUUUCAUUAAUAUCUAUAUUUAAUGUAACCGUAGUAGUAGAAGGUGUUAAAUAUCUUAAAACAAUAUAAUAUAGGAUAAUACCCAGCUUUUCCAUAAAUUUCAUGUAUUCAUUAAGAUUUCUUAUAGAUAUCUAUAGUAACUUUAAGUAUUUUUUAUUGUUGUAGUUUUAAUAAUAAAAAAAUCUUUAAUUUUAAACCUAUUUCUAUUCUAAAAUCUUCUAUAUUUUAGCAUAAAUCUAAAGCCAAAUAAAAAUGUAUCAAAGUAAAUACAAUAGAAAGAUUCUGAAUACAAUAAAUUGAUUAAAUUUCUCUGUAUACAUAUUUCUUAAGUUUCAUUGCAUCUUUUAGAUUUAUUAUCUGGAUAACUACCAAAAUUUGGGUUGGGAAUGAUGAUUGAAAAGUUUGCUAAAAAUAAUAAGACACAAAGCAAAAUGAUUUAAUAUUAAUAUAAGAUUUAAAUUUGCAAAAUCUCUUUGGAACUUAAUUAUAACCUAUAAGAGAAAUCAAUUAUUACAUAUAAAUUAUAAUGGUUAAUUUGUUAUUAAAGUUGUUACUAAAGUAUCGAUUAUAAAAUACAAUAAGUAUAUUUAACAGAGGUAUUGAUUUCAAAUGAAAAUAUCUACAGGAAUAUACAACCUUGACUUUGUAUUACUCAUACCGUACAAAUAGUAUAAUUUUCCACUCGAAUACCGCAAAUAUCAACAGUUGUUAAAGUGAAAUAGAGUAGAUAACCAAUGUGUUGAUGCUUAAAUUAAAUAUCAGUAAAGAGUCUAACAACUGGUUUAUUAUUUAUUAUGUUUCUCUGUUCAAAAAGAGAAAAAUAAGAGAAGAUAUUCAAGCAAAAAAACCGUACACGUUUCUUCCACGUUAAAAGUAUCUACGAUUUCAGUGAAACGGCUUUAAUACUAGAUAAAUCAGAUUGUAAGUCAGUUAAGAUUACAAAUUUGUGAAUUUGGUAACAUCUUUAGUUUAUUCAUAACAGUAUUAAAAUGGACGUAAUAAAUACAUUAACAGCAGAAUUCCACAAAAUCCAAACCACCAACGUACAACAAUCCCACAAGAAUUUCAAACUUUUUUUAUCGACGCUUCCAGAAAAGCUAAAAACCAACGAAAAUGAAUUUAUUUCCAAUUUAGUACCACAAACCAAGCUAGAACAUUUAUUUAAAAUCGAUAUUUUAUUACAUUUAAAGAGACACAAUGAUGUUUUAGAUGUUUUAAAAAAUGGUAAUAAUCGUUAUGUUGGAAGGAUUUUGAAAGACUUUGAUUUUCUUGCUGAUCUUGUACCAAAGUUAAGUGUUAAAAUGGUAAUGGAUGAUAUUUUCCCAGAAAUAUCUUAUAUCACCAAACUAAAAAUUCUUAACAGAAUUUCUAAAACUGUUAAAAAUGAAGAACUUUUAGAUGAGUAUUUUGAAGAAAUUGAGUGUAAAUAUGGCAUUGAAAUGGCGUUCGUUUUAUUGCCAGGUUGUUCUAAGAAGUUAAUAAGGUUUAAGGUUGAAAAAUAUGUUUGGAAAUUACCAAGUAGACACGUUGUUGAGAUUUAUAAAAAAGAUCAUACAUUUCCAUUAUUUUAUUUCGAUUUAUUAAAAAAAAUUGAUGAAAAUUUUAAAUUUA